ensembl:lncRNA
UCACCCUGCCAUUUUAAAUGUAAGUGCACCGAAUACUGUAAGUGCUUAGUUGCAACUUAUUUGGAAGUAAAUGCAGAAAAGAUUACAGAACUCCUUAGAAUAGCCACACUUUUCUCUCCUUUUCUGCUUCAGUAUAAGUCAGUCAAGGAUCUCCCAGUUAUAACCCUCUUAAGAGGUGAGGGCAUUGGACCCUGGCCUAGCGGCUUUUGAGCUUGUAUCUGCAUCUCCGUAAAAACAGUCAGAAUGCUGGCAGGUGAAGAAGGCAUGUAUUUCACAGUAUUCCAGUUGCAAUUAGUUGCAUUUAUGUCUAUCCUGAUAUUUAGAAGUUUUUCUAAAACUGUUAAACCUUCUUAGUAUGAAACUGCUUUCCUUGCUUUCCAUUUCAUUACUUUUCAUCUAAUUCCAGAGAACACGAAAGAAAAUAAUUCUUCUCUUUUGUACAGGUGUGUUUUCAGUGUUUCAACAUUUCCCCUUAUUCUUCAUUAGACUAUACAUGUCCAGUAUUUACAGUCCUGGGUUAGGUUUUCUAGAUCUUUUUUUUCCAGUUUUUAACUCAUCUUUGGAUUUCUUCCUGCUGAUGUGUGUAUUUGCUUGGAGAGUAAUGCCCAUAACUGGACAUACUUACUACUUCAUAGAUAAGACUUUAGCAAGCUAUUUACUUGUUGUAAAGUAAGAGGAAAUUCUGUCAUUGUUCCCCAUUCACUUUAAAUGAUCAGUAUUAUAUUGAAUAAAUAAUAUGAUUAUUAUGUAAAAUUCUGCAAAAGAAUUUUAUUAAAAGUUUACCUACAUACAUUUUCUCCCUGAUACUAUCAAAUUAUAUAGUAUUGUGAUCGUUUUCCACAGGUAUUUCAUAUGAUGACACCAUGCAAUGAUCUGGUGGAACUGGGACAGCUGCUAAGAGAGGACUACAGUCCCCAGAGUGGUCUGGUCCUUCCCACAUGGUUUCUGGGAGGGAGAUACAAAGUGAUGUAGUGAUGUGGGGAUGCUCUUUUGCUCUGCACCACAGCCUGCAGCACACAGUUAGGAGACUCUCCCUUUCCCAUUUGUUUAUGACUUUUUAUUCCUUUUAUAUUGUAUUAUCUUCCAUGCCUUUACCAUUUUUAGUAAAAUAGUUUAUCUCAAUCGAGCAGCAACUCCUCCUUCUCACUUUUCCGACAGCUUCCUGUGAGGGGGAGGGGCUGGGGAAAUGGAGCUAGGCCCUGUCGCAUGACAGGAAAAAAAAAAAAAAAAAGAAAAAAAUUCAUCCCACGACAAGCAUUUAAAAUAUUUUCUUCAAUAUUCUUGAUAUAAAUACAUUAUUUUCCUAUUGUUCAAAUUCCAUCUCUGACUGAGAACACAGUAACCAUCUAGCUGAACAGGCAGGAAAUGUGCGCAUGCGUACUCAUGGGUACUCCAUAGAGGCAUUAAGACUCUCCAGCUUUAUCUCUUAGUCACAGACCAGUAUUUCUGCUGCUGCUAGUAAGCAAAACAACUUGUCACCAACAGCAGAUACUGCUCAGAAAUUACCACCUGAUCAUAAGGUUCCCCUUCUACUCAACAUGUCUGUAUAGGCUAGAAGUUCAUACCGCAUGCCUGAUGGGGAGUGGUUGCAUCCUGGAGGUAUAAAGUACGAGUGGAGAGGCAGCAGGAAGAACGCACAUCUUGAGCAUAAAGAUCUGAUGCUGAUAAGUCAAGAUUUGGAAGGACCUCCUUGAGUCACUGGAGGGCUGACUGUUGUGGGAGCAUCAAGAAAAGCUGAGCCAGCAAAAGUUUCAAGGUCCUGAAGAGUUUUGCACCUGGCCCACCACAUCAGUGCUGCACUUGUGCCUGAUCACCAGGGACAAUUGUGUUCCUGUUUCCAUUGUGCAGUCAUGCAGAAAACAUCUCUCAUCCGAGCUCGAAGCGGUGGCGUGAGUUACACAUUGGUGGUGUGAGUCACACAUUACAGGCUGGCGUCAGCCACUUCCAGGAAGGAGGGCAGACAUGGCAGCAGGACUGGUGGAAUGGGGUGGCGCCUCUCUCCAGAAUGUUAGCAUGUUGCUGAAAUCACAUGAGAACAACAAUCUGGAAUUGGCUCUAGGAUUUGAUCACACGAGAACACAGUGAUAGGUCAGCUGUCAUGACCUACUUAGCUUUCUGGAAGGAGUGCUGCAGUCUCCUGAUGAUGGUAAAGCCCUUGUACAGGCUGAACAAGUCCAGUUCCUUCAGCCUUUCUUCAUAGGAGAGGUGCUCCAGCACUUGGAUCAUCUUCAUGGCCCUCCUCUCAACCCUCUCCCAAAGCUCCACGUCUUUCCUGUAGUGGGAGCACCAGAAUUGGACUCAGUACUCCUGCUGGGGCCUCACGAGGGCAGAAUAGAGAGGGACAAUCACUUCUGUUGCCCUGCUGGCCACGCCUCUUCUGAUGGAACCCAGAAUACCAUUGGCCUUCUGGGCUACAACUGCACACUGCUGGCUCAUGUUAAGUUUUUCAUCAACCAGGAUCUCUAAG